UUAUGUUAGUUGUAUGUACGCCUGUUUUAUUCUCUCCCAAAAGAAAAUUAUGUGUCCACCAGUCACUCGCCUCAUACAUGUUGACAAGAAGAAGAAUACCAUGUAGUUAGUAGUUUUCUGGUGUUUAGCAACUAUGAUUUUUAGUACCAUGUGUACAGAGGCAUUCGUAAUAUCACAUUCACCCAGAAUGGUAAAAUUCACCAUGUAAAGUUCCAAGUACCGACCGAUAAAGACACAAAUUUACGCUCCUCUAGUCAGUACUUUGCCGAAUCCCGAGCAUUGGCAUUUCCCCCCAAACCUGUAAGGUGAGACGUUAAAACCUUAAUGUUGGGUUGUUCACUAAACCUGACAUUUCUGGUGUUUUUCUUGUUUUCUCAAUUUCCCCCCUUCCGAUUAUUAGAUCUAAACAACACUUGUGUAUUGUGGUUGUUAGAAUUUUUUAUUCCUCACGGAAAGGGAGUUACACAGACAGCAUCAAUGAUGGACAAAAUCCUUGUAAUCAUCCUUGCACUUUGAAUUCUGAUAGUGAAGAAAACUAACGGGGAAAUAUGAGUCUGAGAUGCUUGCUUUCUUUUUGGCCUUGUGAUUUUUGUAUGAAAUUGAAUUUUUUUCAGUCUGUAAAAUUUUUGUUUGUGUUAUCAGGAUCAGUGAUGUUUAAAUACUGCGUAGUAUCUUUUUGAAUAAAUCUCUCCAACGAGGAAUUUUUUUUAGAUGUCGAUUGCCUUCUGAGGUUCUACUUCGUAAAGUAGUUUUCGCUUUUGGUUUGAUUUUCAUGAUUUAUUUAGAGUUUAAUUAAUUUGUGAGUACUCUGUUUGGAGUUUGGCUGAUUUUUGAUCUGUCUAUUGUGUUGUUUCACUUAAUUUGAAUAUGAUGAUAGGUAUUGUCGCCUCAUUGGUGCAACAUGGUGAUUGACUUCCAUUUCUGAUUUAAAUAAUUACAUAUGUUCAUUGUCUAGACUUGAUUAAUUCAAUUUCAUGUUAGACUUGUCAAUUUAUUAUCUACUUGCCCACAUUCUAGAAAGAAACUUAGAAAACCAUGUCGUUCGUUUUUUCGAUUUUAUCAAGAAAAAUUUUAGUACUGACCCAAUACAUUUUUUUUGUUUUCCGACGCCUUAGGGGUUUAAACCUUUAGAUUUGAAUGAAAGAUUGAUACUCAAUAUACAGGUUUUGAGAAAUGAAGGUGCCCCUCAACCAAGUAUUGUCAUAUUCUUAGUUAGCCAACCAUGGUCGCUUUCUAUUAGCACUGGUAAAUUCAGGGAGAGAUAGUAGAAGAUAUUAAGGGUAUGGGUUUCGGUCCUUAGAAAUUUAAGUUCUUAGUGGUCUUCAUGCAUUGACAGCGAUGAAUAAAUCGAUUUGUUGAAACUAAGGUUAGAAGAUUUAAUUCAAAAUUUGUUUAAUACAUGUCCUAUCUAUAUGAAGCUAUCCGAGAAGAAAAUCAUAUAGUCCCUGGCUUGUUGCUAAGUGUCCAUGAAUUGAGGUUUCCCGUUUAUCAAAUAUUAGUCUCCAAGGGUCUGAUUGAGGGACGAAUUUUCUUAGAAACACUGCAUAUGAGUCUUUAUUGGAGAAGCUGUGAUCAAGUAUGAGCAAGAAGCUCCUGGGCAAUUUAAGGAACAGGUGGGAUUAGAAGAGAAAAACUGGAAGUUCCCGAGGAAAUCAUGAAAUAUUGUGAAGGAAUAUUUUAAAUGGGACACAACAGAAGAUUUGGAUACCACUGAGACAAAGUAUCUUUAUUACAAUGUUAGUACAGUGGUGACAACUAAAGCUGAAUAUGAGGAUCUCAAACAACAAGUGGAAAAUUCGCGGGCGCUAUAUUCUCGUCUGGAGGACUAUAACCUUGAUCAUGUCAAAGUCUCUGACCCUUCUGUAUCUUCUUUACGUUGUUUUCUGAGGGACUCGGGCACGGGUGCGAAGACACUGGUGAUGAACCCCGAGGAUCAUGUCAUUGAGGGCCUUCGAAUGAGGUCUGAUGCAAACAAGAAUGACUUCCACGUGCGUAACGCGGCUCCCGUGUUGUUUCAGUCUGCUAGUUUGCAUCACAACUUGUUGAAGAUGACAGAGGAGCGUUGCCUGAACAUGUUUAUGACGGAACAGGAAGAUUGCUUGAAAGAAGUGGACAAGAUGCAGGAGCAGUGGUUUCUGGUAGAUGCAUCAUCUUUAAAUUGUAACCUUUAAUUUAAUCGUCCUAUGCGUCAUCUUUAGCAGUCCUUUGAGAGGUCUUUUCCCUGACCAAGAAUCGUACCUGAAUUGAUGCACCUGAAUUAAUGCUGUAAUGAGAAUGAGCAUCAAUGACGGCAGCUGGAUUGGCAAUGGCUUCCU